rnacentral:rRNA from 1 species
GACGAACGCUGGCGGCGUGCUUAACACAUGCAAGUCGAACGAAGUGGAGAACGGGUGAGUAACGCGUAAUCAACCUGCCCUUCAGAGGGGAACAACAGAUGGAAACGACUGCUAAUACCGCAUACGGAAGGAGGGGAUUGCGUCUGAUUAGCUAGUUGGAGGGGUAACGGCCAACCAAGGCGAUGAUGAGUAGCCGGUCUGAGAGGAUGAACGGCCACAUUGGGACUGAGACACGGCCCAGACUCCUACGGGAGGCAGCAGUGGGGAAUCUUUCGCAAUGGACGAAAGUCUGACGGAGCAACGCCGCGUGAGUGAUGACGGCCUUCGGGUUGGAAAGCUCUGUUAAUCGGGACGCGGUACCGGAAUAGAAAGCCACGGCUAACUACGUGCCAGCAGCCGCGGUAAUUC